rnacentral:tRNA from 1 species
UGGCUCAGUUGGCAGAGCAUGUGACUCUAGAUCUCAGGGUUGUGAGUUCAAGCCCCAC